rnacentral:rRNA from 1 species
UACGUAGGGUGCGAGCGUUAAUCGGAAUUACUGGGCGUAAAGUGUGCGCAGGCGGCAGAGCAAGUCGAGUGUGAAAGCCCCGGGCUUAACUUGGGAAUUGCGCUCGAAACUACUUUGCUGGAGUGUGGCAGAGGAAGGUGGAAUUCCACGUGUAGCGGUGGAAAUGACGUAGAUAUCGGGAGGAACACCAAUGGCGAAAGCAGGUAACUGGACUAUUACUGACACUAAACUGCGAAAGCUAGGGGAGCAAACAGG